CGGCGCUGGCUCGGCGCUCGCCGCCCCGUAACUUGUGCCGUGGGAAGCGGCGCCAGGAAUAGCCCGGCCGCGCCGCGAGCUGCGAGCCCUGCCUCGCCUCCCCGCUCCUCUCCUCUCCCCUCCUCUCCUCCUUCCCGGCCCCGGCCGCCGCCUCGCCCCCGUCAGUGCCGCGGUGAUGCUGGUGCGUUCCCGGCGGAGGGGCAGCGAUGAGCUCCCUUAAGAUCAAUACGCGAGACAGACGCCCCUUGGCCGCUGGAAUAUCUCUGCCUGGCCUUAUAUAAAGACACGCCGCCGGGCCGCCGAGCUCCGGGCACACGGAGCGUCCGGCGGGAGCACCAGCACCGCCGCCAGCAGCAGCAGCAGCAGCAAGGGCACCGGGAGGGCUCCGCUCCCUCCUCCUCCUCCUCCUCCUCCGCCACUUCCCAGACUUCCCCCCUGAAAACCUCCUGCCCUAGGAUGAGAAGCAGCUUGCAAAGCAGGAGGAAGAUUGGUUUCUUCUGGGGGAGGCUUUAUCUCUUCUGUGACUUCUGA
rnacentral:lncRNA from 1 species